UACGAGGGGGGCGAGCGUUGUUCGGAAUUAUUGGGCGUAAAGGGUGCGUAGGCGGUUUAGUAAGUCUGAUGUGAAAUCUAUGGGCUCAACUCAUAGUCUGCAUCGGAAACUGCCGGGCUUGAGUAUGGGAGAGGUGAGUGGAAUUCCUGGUGUAGCGGUGAAAUGCGUAGAUAUUAGGAGGAACACCGGUGGCGAAGGCGGUUCUCUGGGCCUGUACUGACGCUGAGGAGCGAAAGCGUGGGGAGCGAACAGG
rnacentral:rRNA from 1 species